CCUACGGGUGGCAGCAGUAGGGAAUAUUGCUCAAUGGGGGAAACCCUGAAGCAGCAACGCCGCGUGAGGGAUGAAGGUUUUCGGAUUGUAAAGUCCUGUUGUUAGAGAAGAUAAAGACGGUAUCUAACGAAAAAGCACCGGCUAACCUCGUGCCAGCAGCCGCGGUAAUUCGGAGGGUGCAAGCGUUACUCGGAAUCACUGGGCGUAAAGGGAGCGUAGGCGGGAUAGCAAGUCAGAUGUGAAAUCCUAUGGCUUAACCAUAGAACUGCAUUUGAAACUGUUAUUCUAGAGUAUAGGAGAGGUAGGUGGAAUUCUUGGUGUAGGGGUAAAAUCCGUAGAGAUCAAGAGGAAUACUCAUUGCGAAGGCGACCUGCUAGAACAUAACUGACGCUGAUGCGCGAAAGCGUGGGGAGCAAACAGGAUUAGAUACCCGGGUAGUC
rnacentral:rRNA from 1 species